rnacentral:tRNA from 1 species
GGCAACUUGGCCGAGUGGUUAUGGCGCUGUGUUCAGGUCGCAGUGGAGCAAUCCGCGAGGGUUCGAGUCCCUCAGUUGUCA